GAUGAACGCUGGCGGCGUGCCUAAUACAUGCAAGUCGAGCGAACGGACGAGAAGCUUGCUUUUCUGAUGUUAGCGGCGGACGGGUGAGUAACACGUGGAUAACCUACCUAUAAGACUGGGAUAACUUCGGAAAACCGGAGCUAAUCCCGGAUAAUAUUUUGAACCGAAUGGUUCAAAAGUGAAAGACGGUAUUGAUGUCACUUAUAGAUGGAUCCGCGCUGCAUUAGCUAGUUGGUAAGGUAACGGCUUACCAAGGCAACGAUGCAUAGCCGACCUGAGAGGGUGAUCGGCCACACUGGAACUGAGACACGGUCCAGACUCCUACGAGAGGCAGCAGUAGGGAAUCUUCCGCAAUGGGCGAAAGCCUGACAGAGCAACGCCGCGUGAGUGAUGAAGGUCUUCGGAUCGUAAAACUCUGUUAUUAGGGAAGAACAUAUGUGUAAGGAACUGUGCACAGCUUGACGGUACCUAAUCAGAAAGCCACGGCUAACUACGUG
rnacentral:rRNA from 1 species